rnacentral:lncRNA from 1 species
CACGGUCCCCCCGACCCCGGCGCCCCGGGCGGCGGCGGAGCGCGGAUGGCGGCGGAGCGCGGCGCGGGGUUGCGCAUCUUCCGCGACAUAUUAAGAAGAGCAGACAAGAAUGGGCUGAGAAAUGGCAAUAUCAUUUAGCACGCUCUGAUCUGAACCUCCUGCAGCAGGUAUGGACUAUCAUCUGCUGCUUCUGAAAAGGCAAGGCACACAGCAGAUCCC